CUGCAACUCGCCUGCAUGAAGUCGGAAUUGCUAGUAAUCGCGGAUCAGCAUGCCGCGGUGAAUACGUUCCCGGGCCUUGUACACACCGCCCGUCACACCAUGGGAGUCGGUAACACCCGAAGCCGAUAGUCUAACGAAAGAGGACGUCGUCGAAGGUGGGAUUGAUGACUGGGGUGAAGUCGUAACAAGGUAUC
rnacentral:rRNA from 1 species